rnacentral:rRNA from 1 species
AUUGAACGCUGGCGGCAUGCUUUACACAUGCAAGUCGAACGGCAGCACGGGUGCUUGCACCUGGUGGCGAGUGGCGGACGGGUGAGUAAUACAUCGGAACGUAUCCAGAAGAGGGGGAUAACGCAUCGAAAGAUGUGCUAAUACCGCAUAUUCUCUGAGGAGGAAAGCAGGGGAUCGCAAGACCUUGCGCUUUUGGAGCGGCCGAUGUCUGAUUAGCUAGUUGGUGGGGUAAAGGCCUACCAAGGCGACGAUCAGUAGUUGGUCUGAGAGGACGACCAGCCACACUGGGACUGAGACACGGCCCAGACUCCUACGGGAGGCAGCAGUGGGGAAUUUUGGACAAUGGGCGCAAGCCUGAUCCAGCAAUGCCGCGUGAGUGAAGAAGGCCUCGGUU